GUAGUCUCGCACAGAUGCAUAUCAAUAAGCGGAGGAAAAGAAACUAACAAGGAUUCCCUAGUAACGGCGAGUGAAGCGGGAAGAGCUCAAAUUUGAAAUCUUCAAGGUUUUACCUUGACGAAUUGUAGUUUAAAGAAGUGUUUUCUGUUGAAGUUUUGGUAAAAGUUCUUUGGAAUAGGACAUCAUAGAGGGUGAGAAUCCCGUAUUUGACCAUUAUUUUCAGCUGUGUGAUACACUUUCAAAGAGUCGGAUUGUUUGGGAAUGCAGUCCAAAAUGGGUGGUAAAUUUCAUCUAAAGCUAAAUAUUGGCGAGAGACCGAUAGCGAACAAGUACCGUGAGGGAAAGAUGAAAAGAACUUUGAAAAGAGAGUUAAACAGUACGUGAAAUUGUCAAAAGGGAAGCGUUUGACACCAGUGUUGUUUUCUCGAAAAUCAAUUAAAAAGAGUUUAGAUUUUGUUGUGUAUUGACCUUAACAGCUUGCAUUUCAAUUUUCUUGCUUUUUUUAAUGCACUUUUUCGUUUAACAAGUCAACAUCAGUUUCUUUUGUUGUAAAAAGGUCAUUGGAAGGUGGCUUUCUUUUCGGAGAAAGUGUUUAUAGCCUUUGACUCCUGCAAUCGGAGAGACUGAGGUCUGCAGCGUAGAUCCUUCGGGGUUAGAUACAUUUGUGCUAAGUUAUAGCUUUUUAUAGACAACUUGUUGACUAUGAUUAGUCUUGUAGCUUACUCGCUUAUGCUAUCUUACCUACGCUUAGGAUGUUGAGCGCAUGUCUCUCUCU
rnacentral:rRNA from 1 species